rnacentral:rRNA from 1 species
CACCUGCGCCACAAGUGGCAAUCACGAUUAUUGGGUCUAAAGCGUCCGUAGCCGGUUUACUAAGUCCCUUGUGAAAUUGUUGGGCUUAACCUAACAGCGUGCAAGGGAAACUAGUAAGCUAGAGACUGGGAGGAGACAGAGGUAUUCUGAGGGUAGCGGUAAAAUGUUAUAAUCCUCGGAGGACCACCAGUAGCGGAGGCGUCUGUCUAGAACAGGUCUGACGGUGAGGGACGAAGGCUAGGGGAUCAAAACGG